GCUCAAAUUUGAAAUCUGACGUCUUUGGCGUCCGAGUUGUAAUUUGGAGAGGAUGUUUUUGGGUGUCCGCCGGCCUAAGUCCCUUGGAACAGGGCGUCAUAGAGGGUGAGAAUCCCGUAUGUGGUCGGAAAGGUACCCUCCGUAAAACUCCUUCGACGAGUCGGGUUGUUUGGGAAUGCAGCCCUAAAUGGGAGGUAAAUUUCUUCUAAAGCUAAAUACCGGCCAGAGACCGAUAGCGCACAAGUAGAGUGAUCGAAAGAUGAAAAGCACUUUGGAAAGAGAGUUAAACAGCACGUGAAAUUGUUGAAAGGGAAGCGCUUGCAAUCAGUCUCGACGGUAGCCGUUCGGCCUCUCUUCUGAGUGGUUUAUUCGGUUGCCGCCGGGCCAGCAUCAGUUUCGGCGGUUGGAUAAAGAAGGUGGGAAUGUGGCCCCUCUCGGGGGGUGUUAUAGCCCACUUUGUAAUACAAUCAGCCGGGACUG
rnacentral:rRNA from 1 species